CGGAGAAUGCUCGCAGUCAGGUAGCGAGGUGCGUUUGGACCGCAGCGGUCGCAGGUUCGAAUCCUGCUUCUCCGACCA
rnacentral:tRNA from 1 species